UUUAAGCCCGAGCUGUCUUGUGCUACACCUGACUGACGUCACUCAAUGCGACGCUGAUGCAUCAAUUAUCAGUCUCGGAACUUCUUUAAAAGCACUGCGCUGGUGAUAGCCAAGUAAGCGGCAGGACUGAUUUUGGAUCAUCUAUUUGUGUCCGUUGGUUCGUUUAUCGUGGCAUUUUCCUUCGUGGGCAACCACGAGCGUUGCAAGCCCAAGGCCGCUGUGCGGCUGCUUUUCCCUUUACUGGCUGCUUGGUGGUUUCGGCAGUACAUUCCACUUCACGUGAAGUUCCGGUUAAUCCCUGGCUGUGAUUGUCGGCUGACGGCAAGAAAUUGAGGCUGCCUUCCGUCACCAGCUGCUGUUUUGUUUCUACUUAAAGUUCCUUUUUGUUAUAUGUUUGUCCAUUGAUUACUGACCAUUGUUGCACUGCGUGCGUGCUGCCAGCUCAUGGUAACCUGCGGGUGUGCGUGCAGGUGUUGAGGAGUGUCGGUGAGGAUUAUUUUGCUUUCCUUUUAAUGUUUGUAAGUCUCCAUUGUCUGCAUGUUUUGUUGUUUGUUUCCUUGUCCUCUCUGCCUGCUGUAAAACCCCACCAGUGGCGAACUUACCCCUGUGACUGGGCACCUAACACUGUGGCUAGUUGUUAUUUGCAGUGCUCUUAUUUUAAGGUGCUUGUAGUGCCCAUUUGGGGUGUAAUGUUUUGCUGUGCUUGACUGUGCUACUUCACAUUCCUUUACUGCCCAAUGAGUCCGACGGGGUGGGACGUCUGUUGGUCUCCAGAGGCUUGAUUUGUGUACUAGUUGAACGUGUGUGUGUUUGUUUUCUGGUUGUCCUUUUUGUUGCAGGAGUUGGGUACUGUCAGUGUAACGGGAGCAAAUGUCAUUCAUUUGAACACAUGUUUGGGGGCGGGACAGCCGAUAUCGUUCUGUAUGUUUGCUGUGUCGGUGUUCGUGUGACAUCUCUCUACAGGUGUUCCUUAUCUGCGGGCUGAUUUGACCACCUACGGGAUUGGCUGGGUAAAGGCAUAAGAACAAACCAAGAUCUCCUCUCAAGGCUCGCACCCGACUACGGGCGACAACGGUUUCUACACACGGAGGCGAGAUCCGGAGCCAGCCGCCCUCUUCCCCGAGUCCUGGAUGAUUGGUCAGCACGGUGCCUCCAAGCCUCACCAGAUUGUUCAACGCACUCAA